GCAGGGAUAGCCAAGCCUGGUCAACGGCGCUAGAUUCAGGGUCUAGUCGCGCAGGCGUUCGCCGGUUCGAAUCCGGCUCCCUGCA
rnacentral:tRNA from 1 species